rnacentral:rRNA from 1 species
CCCUUAGACGUUCUGGGCCGCACGCGCGCUACACUGACCAGUGCAACAAGCAUCCGUCCUUGGCCGACAGGCCCGGGCAAUCUUUGAACGCUGGUCGUGAUGGGGAUAGACUUUUGCAAUUUUUGGUCUUCAACGAGGAAUUCCUAGUAAACGCAAGUCAUCAACUUGCAUUGAUUACGUCCCUGCCCUUUGUACACACCGCCCGCCGCACCUACCGAUUGAAUGGUCCGGUGAAGCCUCCGGAUUGGCGCGCACCUCGGUGCCGCCGAGAAGUUGGCUAAACCUUACCAUUUAGAGGAAGGUGAANUCGUAACA